CCCAACUAUCCCUAUUAAUCAUUACGGUGAUCCUAGAAACCAACAAAAUAGAAUCAUGCCGUCCUAUUUUAUUAUUCCAUGCUAAUGUAUUCAAGCAAAAUGCCUGCUUUAAACACUCUAAUUUUUUCAAAGUAAAGGUCCUGGUUCCCCGCGUCACCCAAUUAAGGACAGCGCGGUUCUCCAGAAGGUGAGAAAUUGACUACACCAGUUCAUACCCCUUAGGGCACGACCGAUGUGUCAAUCCCGAAAUUCAACUACGAGCUUUUUAACUGCAACAACUUUAAUAUACGCUAUUGGAGCUGGAAUUACCGCGGCUGCUGGCACCAGACUUGCCCUCCAA
rnacentral:misc_RNA from 1 species